ACCGUGUCCCAAGCCUGCCCGAGGGGCCUCCCACCCAGCCCACCCUCCUCUGGCUGGGGGAGGGGGCCGACCAGGAGCACCAGGUGGGAUGUCCAGAUCCCUCGGGUAGCUGUGGGCACCGCCCGCAUACCCUCCAAGGGCAGCUUCGAGGCCCCAUCCUCAACCCCAACCUACCCUCACCUAAACCACGGGAGCCAGAGAACAGGGAAGAAAAUCACAGAUGGGGGUGAGGAUCGCAGCCUUUCAUCCGAAAUCCCUCUCCCCUGUACCAAUCACCACGCUGCCCCCACGUUUCCUCCCUUCCCAGUGGAGGGCUCACGGCCCUAGAACAACCAAGUCCAUCCAAAAAAAGGCAGAGAUAUUUAGUCAAAUCAGCAAACUCAGGUUUUUCAAGCCCCAGCCACAGCAGGGGAUGGAAAUGGGAAGCCAAGAGGACCCCUGCCAGGGGCCGGCUGCCUUGAUGUGUGGUGAGCGCAGCCUGGCUGUGGCCGGGGAGGCCUCUCCCUAUAAAUUAGGUCCCUGCAGCCACAGCUGGGGGCGAGGCAUGCUGGCGGAAGGAAGGCCGGAAGGCGGAGUCCCUGACCCCCGGCCAAGGGAGGGUGGCACCAGCCCAUCCCCGCACUGGCCUGCAGACUUAGCAACUGGGGCUGUGCACAGGAGGGGUGUCAGAGCCGGGGGAGAGCUAGUGGCCCCUGGCACCGGUCUGGGGGUCCGGAGGCCUGGGUCCAGACUCCGCUCUGCCCCUAAGCAGCGGCAGGAUCCGGUCUCCCCAUCCGUGAAAGGGGAAGGAUUCUGACCUUCCUUCCUUCUUAGGGUUGACAGAGAAUUCAUGAGGUCCUGGGUGAAAAGGUGUUUUGAGAACACAAAACGCCGUCUCAACACGUGAGCCGUGUUUCGCUCAGGGCCCGGCAGCCCCCUACCCAUUCCCCUCUCCCGGCCAGAGAGGCAGGGACGGGGAAGACAGAGGAAGUUCCAACGCUGGAGGGCAGGCGUGGCGGUGGGAGGGGCAAGAUGCAGACAGUGAGCCAGCAAACAGGAGUGUCAGCGAGGGUGGGGCCCCGGAACCACCCCCCCCAGAGGUCCUCAUCAUGCGGCUCCCCCCCCACCCCGGCACCUGCCCCCAGGUUCAUACAAUUGACUGUAAGGUGCACCCAGGAGCCGUUAACAGAGUCGUCCUCAGGCUGUGCUUGUCCAGGAAGAGCACUCGGCACUCGUACCAGCCCUGGUCUUCCGCUCGGAGCCCCUCGAUCCGGAGAGAUGCCCCUUCUGCAGCCGGACUCGCCCUGGGGGAGGAGCCCCAAACCCUGGUCACGCUGGUUACUCUCAAGGUCAAGAACGAGGCCCUGUCUCCUCCAGUCACCCUGAUCCAGCGGGGGACCGGAGAGACACGGGUGGGGCUGGGGUCACCGAGGGCAGAUCCCUCCAUUCAGCCCCGGAUCACUCCUGCCUUUUAGCAGCUGAGAUCCAGUUUA
rnacentral:lncRNA from 1 species